AAGCCAACAAAGGUGACUCCACUGCCCCUCAGGAAGCUAACACUGUGAGAAGGAUAUGCCGCCCAGGGCACAUCCCUAAGGCGCUGUCUGUGGACUGGGCCAGAGCUACUUCCGGACCAGCAUCCAGGUCCACUUCACGACCAGGUGGUGUUGAGACUCUCAUCUGGACCUUGAUUCAGACAGCAGAUCUGGCCAGCAAGCCCCAGGGGUCCUCUUGCUUCUGUCUCCUCGGCGCUGGGAUUACAGAGCUUGCCUUUGUCGAGAAAACUCAGAACAAAAGAUGGAGGAAAUGGCAAAAUCAGAAUGGUCAGGCUGCCUGAGAAGUUUGCUAACACAGUCCAGUCCCUCAAGACCCAAGUCUUCUUAGGAGUUGGGUUCCCAGAACUGAUUUGAGCUUAGCACCCCUCAUACCACAGCAGAUUGCCGCUUGUUUCCAUCUGGAAGAUUCUAUGAGGCAGACUGCCACUGUGUGUGUCCACUGCAGAAGUUACUGCUGCCACCAGCAGGACAUCAACAAACAAAACUAGGCUCUUGGCCACCGUGACACAUUUGAGGUGUGCGGUAUUUGGGAGACCUGAGUAUUCUACAUGUGGCUGAUGGAGCAGCACCAAGACAGA
rnacentral:lncRNA from 1 species